rnacentral:tmRNA from 1 species
UCACUUCACAUUAAUCGUCGUUUGCUUAUAUGGAACUCGCCGGUUUCGGCCGGCUAUGGCGAUAAACUGCGGUGUGCAAUAGGCACAGCGGACCCGGGGGCAGUACCCGGCGGCUCCACCAUAAAGCCCUGUUUCGGCAGGGUUUCCUGACGGGGCCGAACCAGGAUCGACGUGUGUUGAAAAGCACUGUUUUCGCCCGGGCUGAGUAACCCGUUAAAGGCUCAAAACACACAAGUGCCAACGACAACGAAGCACUUGCUCUCGCUGCGUAAUUCUAGGGCCUAGCGGCCUGACCUUACAAAGCUUUGAGCACGGUUCGGACCGAACCGGGUAACAGAAUCGGAAACC